rnacentral:lncRNA from 1 species
CUAACUGUAGAAGAGCACCGCCGAUGCUCCUCCGCCGGUGACUUUCUCUUCCCUUUAAUUCCCGAUUAAAACAAUGAGCAGUCAGUUAGUUUCUUCCGUAUUCUCCGGAAUACAUCGCAUACCUAACCGUCACGAGACUCAUUCUCUCCUUCGCUCAAUUCUCUUCAUCCACGGGAACAAACCGGCCUGUAUUGAUCGUCGACGACCGAUUCUGCAUUCUUCCUGUGGAUAUCGGAACAGAUACAGAGUCGGCGCCGCGGCUGAUGUUUCGGAAACGCCUUCGUCGUCUCUUCUCGACGACGAGCUUAUGAGCAGUGUAUCCGCCGUUAGGGAUGCGGACGAAGCGCUCGAGAUGAUUAGCAAUCGGUUCGGACCAAAUCGCGGCGGAGUAGUUGAAAUCGAAGAUUGCCGCUCGAUAAUCUCGGCUGCUGUGAGCCGCGGCAAUGUCGAGCUUGCGUUGUCGAUUUUCUACGCCAUGCGAGCGAGUUUCGAUUUAGGUAAGGAGUUUCUGUGAUUUAUUGAGUAAGCAAGUUUAUGAAUGGUUGUGUGUGUGUUUGGUAGGUGGGAGUGAAGUUGAUCGAUGGAGAUGGUCAAGGCCUGAUGUAGAGGUCUACACGAUGUUGGUCAAUGGACUUGCUGCUUCCUUGAGGGUUUCUGAUUCUCUAAAGAUCAUUAGAGAUAUUUGCCGCGUUGGAAUCUCCCCUGCUGAGGAGGUAACGUACUCUAGUUUCUGCAAUAGUUAUGAUUCGAUUAGGUAGGGGUUAAUGGAUUAUGUUUUUAAGCAUGAUAUAAUCGAAUAUACAUUGGUAUUGAUAUAGGUUCCCUUUGGUAAAGUUGUGAGAUGUCCAAGCUGUUUGAUUGCCAUUGCUGUUGCACAACCCCAGCAUGGAGUUCAGGUGAUCAUUGAUCUCUAUCUGAUCUAUUCCUCAGUGUUUAACCUAUCUUUUUAAGAAUAAUAAUAAUAAUACGCGUUUUUCUCUGAUUAUGUUUCUAGAUUGUCUCCUGUGCUAAAUGCCGAUACCAAUACGAGCUUUUCUCUGGUGACAUUACCAGCAUAGAAUCAGAAGAGCUCGGGUUAGUUCUCUUUCAAUACGUUUUCUGUUUUCUGUUACAUAGCUCUAGGGCUUGUUUUGGUUAUAGAGAGCGGGUUGUGACUUGUGACCGGAAAAAAGAUUGAAAUGUGUGUGGUGUUAUAUCUGUUGAACAGAGAGUUGACUGUGUGUUGAUUAAUUGUGCAGCUUCUGGUCCAGUGGCUAUAGUUCAGAAGAUGACAGGUUCAUGGGUCUCAAAGGGAAGGACUUACUACAGAUACUCAACAACUGUAACAAACAAAUCACCAAGAGCUCUGAAAAGUCUUAACCUGUCAAUCAAGAAUCUCUACGGACCAAUCUGGGGACUCUCUAGAUCAGGAAACUCAUUCGGUUUACCUUCCUGGAUGCACUCAUUGCAAUCCGGAAAGUCCCUAGAGUUCGUCUACAUUCACUCUACAACUCCCGCCAAUGUCGCGGUUUCAGGCUACACGUUGGCUUGACCAGACAACAACAACUUCAAAAGGAAUCACAGUGUGUAUAGGUCGUGAGAAGAAGAAGAAAGCGUUGGUUUUUUCGUCUGGUUCGUCAAGAAAGUUAAAAGGUUUGGUCUUUUUAUUUUUAUUUUGCAUUUUUCGUGUUCCUCUGGCGAAUAUGAAAGGGUUGAAGAAGGGUGGAAGAAAGGUGUGAAGAGAGUGAAUGACUCUUCAGAAAAUUUAGAAGAAGAGUGAAAGUGCUCAUCCUCUUUCUACUUCAAGUUCAAUGCUUUUUUAAAUUUAUAUAUAUAUAUAGUGAGAGAGAGGAAGAUAGAAAAAAAAAAGAUAGUGUCUUGUGAGAAUUUGCAGGGAUUGUUUUUUUCAUUCCUUGUAGCUCAAAACAUGUGCAUGCCUUUGUCCUUUUGUGUGUGUUUAUCUUUCUUGGUGGUCAGUUGUAAAACUCAACAACAGUCCUUAAUGGAAUGUGAUAUGGUUAUUAACUUGUGUUAAGUACUUGUCGUCCAUAGACAAACUGAAGUUUAGCCAUAUUAAUUAAUGAUAAAGCCAAAAAUAAAACCUUCCCCAGAUUGUUUAUUUUUCUACACAAUGUGAUGAAUCUUGGUAGAUUUUACAUUUUAGUUUAUACAGAUAAUUUUAUUACAAUAUAAAACCCCGAAGCUUCAUCAUGCUUAAAGAUAAUUGUAAAAUUUUCAUAAUGUAGCCUGAAUGUGUUGUUGUUGAUGUAAACAAAAUAAAAUUGAAUGAGACUAUUAAUUGACCUGAUAGUAAUUGAGAUGCCGAGGCCUUUGCUUCUUAUAAGAAGAUGUGACAAGCCAUUUACAAGAAAGAAAAAAAGAAGGUGUGAUGAGAUCUCUUUCCAUGUCGAAUGAUACUGCGUCCAAGUGAACACCUCUUAUCAGCUCAAAUCCCUCCAGCUACAAAUAAAAAUGAAAAACCCCAUUGUGUAGUAAAAAAAAUUGCCGUAAGACUCCAAUAUAUUUUGCUAUUUUUUUUAAUAAAAAAAUUAUAUAAUAGAAAUAAAUAUAUGUUCCAAUGUAUUUUUUUAAGAUAGCAAUCUCCAAUAUAUAGUAAAAUAUAGAGAACUGUUAUUUUUAUUUUUAUAAAUGCAAUACAUGUUUCUAACACUUGCAAUACAUGUUUCUCACACCCUAUUUAUGAGUCAAUUUGAAAAAUUCGAAAUAGUUAAGUUUAUGGUCAAAUAUCAUGGUUAAUAUCUUGUUUCCUAUUUUUGUUUCACUUGCAUAUAAUACUUUCCAAAAAUUGAAAUUUAGAAAGGAACAAUCAGGAAUUUUUAUGAUUGAAUUAUAGCGAAAAUAUAUUCAUUUCACUGAAAUAAAACGAGCCUAAACCUCAUAUCUUGUGACUGUAUAUAUGAUACUAAGCUAAAAACUUAGGCAUCACAACGAACAAUAUGUGUUAAAUUUCUUAGUUAAAUAGCUUGAUCUGUUGUCGUUAGUUUAAUUAUAUUUGUUUAACCCAGAUAGUCCAGUUCAUCUGAAAGUCCGUGUUGAUUGCUUUUCAUUGAUCUGUAUAUCAAACGUUACAUUAUUGUAACAUGUAUUAUUUGUUACUAUGACUUUUUAUUUUUUAAAUAUUUACUAAUUUUUAACUUUUUUUAAUCUAUUCACUCCAUGCAAGGCAUAUAUCACCGCCUAGUAUAUAGUAAAAUAUAGAAAAUGCUAUUUUUUUUUCUAUUAAUGCAAAAAUAUGUACAUUGGUUACAUGUUUCUAACACUUUAUUUUUACUUCACAUCAUGAUCUCUCUUACACAUCAUCUUUUUUUCACAUCAUAAUUUAACACCCACUCAAUUUUUAUUCUCAAGAAUGAUUUGGUUUAAAAAAAAUUACAACACCGUACCCCACUAAUUUUAUUUAUAUUUUUAUAUUAUUUUAUGUCUUUUUUGUGAUUAUAAAAAUUAUAAUUUCAAAUUAAAUCAAAUAAUUAAGAACUAAAUAAAUUUAUAACAUAAUUGAUCUUUUUCGUUUUUAUUUUAUAUAUUAAUAUUUUUUUAAAAAAAAUAGCAGGAGCUAAUAGCAAAAAUAUAGUAAAAAAGAUGAGUUUGUUUAUGUGUCCAAAUGAAAUUAAACAAAUCUCUAUUUAUAAAGUAUGAAAAUAAUGAAUGUUGAUAUAAAACUUUUAUAUAUAAUUAUAAUUAUAUUAAAUAAUUGAUAUUAAAUAAUGGAGAUGGAAAAAAUUAAAAAAUAAGAGUAUCCAAUCAGUUUUUUACAUUUGUUUUCAUCCACCUAUUAACGUUGCAAUUAAAAUUUGAGAAACAAACUUAAUAUUUUGCUCUAAUCAACAUUUGCCACGUCAUACAAGAAAAUAUAUUUUAUCAACGCUGUUGAUAAGUUUCAACACUAAAUUUGCCACAUCAUGUAUUUUACUUUUACAAUAAACUAUUGUAAAUUUAUCAACAAUUGUUAAUAUUUAUCAAGAGUUGAUAAAUCUUCUAUUGUAAGUAGUCUAAAAAAAUAUAGCAAUCUAUAUUUUAAAAGAAUAAAUAAAGUAGGGCUGGAACCGUUUUAAGCCCUAAAUAUUAUUAUAAAUGUAAAUAUAGUGGUGAUCUGAAGAUACUAUGAGAAAAAAACAACAAGAACUAAGAAGACUCAUGAACAAAUUAUAACUUUUUUUUGUCUUUGGCUACUCUACUGAAUUCUUCAAGGAUAACUCAAAAUUAUUUCAAUUUGUAUUCUCUCUAUUUCAUUACUAUUAAAAUUUAGAUUUUAUAUAAAAACAAAAAAACACGAUUAAUUUUAUUUAUUUAUUUAUGACAUUUUCUGAACGGAAUCGUAAGUUUCCAACGUGUUUUUAAAUACGAUAUUUUGGAAGCGAGAUUCUGCAAGCUUCCACAAAGUUUCGAUUCUGAUUUCGGUUCCGAAUCGGGAAGCAGACGUCCGAUGAAGUUUCCUUGCUUUUUAACGAAUAUCUCAUUGAUUUUUUCUAUGUUUUUUUUUUCAGUUCAGGAAACAUAAUAUAUAAGAAAAAGAAAACUCUAAAAUUCUUAUAUAAGUAUAUCAAUUAUGUUUGAUUGACUUAUGGAGAUAUAAAAAUAUACAAAAUAUUUUACUAUAACAUAAAAAUGUAUAUGUGUUCAUUAGCAGGAACGAGUAACAAGCGAAAAACACCAAAUACUUAUUUUUAUUUAAUAUUUGAUAGUUGUUUUAUAUUUGCAAAUAAUUUAAAUAUAUUACUUAAUUAGUACCAGUCAAUGUAAAUACCCGACUAUAUGGAUCAGCUACAUACCAAAUAGGGAAUUCGAGACAAGUUACAAGUAAUCAUGCCCACUCCUACAAGUAGGCUACUACUAUCACUAAAUCUUGGACAAUAGUAUAUGCUACUUUCAUUUCACAUGAAAAUAGAGGAUUCAGUUUAGGCCUAUAAAUUACAUUAUAGCCCAUUUUUGUUAAUUUAUUUCUCUCGAGUUUACUAUGCAGUUUACACGUAUGACAUCAGGCUAUUUAUUUAUUAGAUCAUGGCCUGAAAGUCAUACCUAAAAUCUUGAACUUGUCUCCCUACAUCUCAUUAAUUUUCGGUGUGGUCUAUGAGAUAUAUACAAUAGUAUAUUUGUUAUCUAGUGAAAGCUUGAAAGAACAUCCAAAUAUUAAAUUUACUAGAAACAAUAUAUCAGGGAGAUGGGCAUCAUAAAUUUCAACUUGUACAUAGUAAAACACUUAAAAUUCAAUUUUAUUUUCUUUUAAUGUUCAGUGAUUCUGCAUGUAAAUUUCGGAGGAUAUAUUAGUGUUCACAUUUGGUCCAAGCAUGUGAUCGGAUUUUCACAUUGGCGAAAAAGUCAUAAAAAAAGUCUUUGGGUUUGAAUUAUAUUCAUUCUUGCUCUUUAAACACUUUUGGGUUAAAAUUAAAACAAAAGAAUUAAACCUAUAUUACAAGCUGCGUCUCAAAAGUCUUUGCAUAGUGUCCGUGACACUGUCGGGCAACAGGUUCCGAACGGUUGAUAUUGACGUUAACCUAACGGUUGUCUUUUUGUGACGGUUGUCUUUGUUUGUGUGAAUUAUUCAAUAAAAAAUUGUCUAAAGUUUCAUAUUUAUUUGUCAUUCUAUGACCCAGUUGAUUGAUCAACAUGUCGAUACGUUAAAUGCAGUGUUUAUUUGGAUUUUUAUAUCUAACAUUAAUAGACUUAUAAUUGAAAGAAACAAAUAUGUUGUAUCCUUACGAUAUAAAUAACUGAGUUUUUAAAAUGUACGUGUUCUUGAUUAUAUAUUUUAAGUUUUGAAUUCUUUAAUAUGUCAUUGCCGCUAAGAGUAAUAAUGAGAGUUGUUGGGAAAUUUUUAAAGGCUUUUUAAAGACAAAUCAGUAAGAAGAUUUGAUGGUAUUAAAUUAUUUGACCCCCUAUAUAUAACAGGUGUUUUCACACUCAAGGCAAUCACUUAUUGUCAAAGAAAAAGAGAAAUAAGUCCGUUUGUUUAUGACCUUGAGAUUUGUCUCUUUUUUUUAUUUGGUAAUAAUGGGGAACUGCAUGGAGAGGUGGAUGCAAGGAGAAGGAGAAGAAGGAGAGAUAGAGGCAAGAGCAAAGGCAAAAGAGUCAUUCAAACUUGAUGGUGAUGAUGAUGACCAAGAUGGAGGUCAAGGUGGAACGAAGGUGAAGAUAGUGCUUACAAGACAUGAAUUGGAUAUGUUUUUGCUUCAGAUGAAUAGGAAUCAUGAAGGAAACUUGAUGAUGACAAAGGAUGUUAUGGUAGAGCUAGAGAAGAGGAUCAUAAAACCAACACCAUCUUUAUCAUCAUCACCAACAUCGAUGGCGUGGGAACCAUCUUUAGAGAGCAUCAUCGAGUGCCCCGAAGCUCAAGAGAUGGAUAGAUGAGGACGCUAUGAUGAUCUAAAUUGCAUUGUGUUAAAUCACGGUGAUCGGAAAUUAUAUAAUUAACAUUUUUGCAUCACUCUAUGUUUUUAGAUAGAUAAUUUUUGUUAGACUAGACUCGAGGUCGAUAUCGUACCAUAUAUAAUAAGAUCUUUAAUCUAUCAAGAAAUAUAAAAUUAAUGUGGUUACUUUUAUUAUACGUUAUAUACAAUAGGUUUGGACAAUUAACGAAUAUCGGGGGUGUAGCUCAUAUGGUAGAGCGCUCGCUUCGCAUGCGAGAGGCACGGGGUUCGAUUCCCCGCACCUCCAACUUUUUAAUCGGUUAAUUAAUUUUUGGUUUAACAAAAGCUCGACCGUCGGAUUCUUCUUUAUUGCCUUUAUCGAAAAAUCAACGGCGUAGAAUCAAACGAAGAAACAGAUAGAGAUACAAAAUAAAAAAAAAUCAUAUGAGACCGUUGGUCUCUCUCCUUCCCUCUUUCUCAGCCUCUCGUUCCUCAUCUAACUGUAGAAGAGCACCGCCGAUGCUCCUCCGCCGGUGACUUUCUCUUCCCUUUAAUUCCCGAUUAAAACAAUGAGCAGUCAGUUAGUUUCUUCCGUAUUCUCCGGAAUACAUCGCAUACCUAACCGUCACGAGACUCAUUCUCUCCUUCGCUCAAUUCUCUUCAUCCACGGGAACAAACCGGCCUGUAUUGAUCGUCGACGACCGAUUCUGCAUUCUUCCUGUGGAUAUCGGAACAGAUACAGA